CUUUACCAAAUCAGACACAUAAAUAGGACUUGCAUCAGAGGACUUGCAUGAUGUGUCUUGGACCAUGGCGAAUGGAGAAUAGAAAGACCUACUGUAUAGGCAACACAAUUCAUGAUUGUUUCGUUCUCCUACUUUCUUUGGGAUUGCCGGAGGAGUGACUGACAGUGACUGUGUGUACUCUGUCCUGCCCCUCUACCAUUCCCACGGCCUCGCACACGGUGGAGGGCCUAUGAUCUACACAGGAGCCACUCUCGUCAUUAGGAAAAAGUUUUCUGCCAAACACUUUUGGACCGAUAGUGCAAAGUACAACUGCACUAUGGUGUGCACGAUUGGGGAGUUGAAUCGCUACGUGUUGGUCCAACCCCCUGGCUGUAUCCGAACCUUGACCCUUUCGAGGAGCAUGACGAGAGGUUCGUCCAUGUUGCCCAGCUGAGACAGGAAGGUCUGGAGACUACCUCUUUGUGAGUUAUCUGUGUGGUCAUCUCUAGCCUCGUUCCCGGCCCAUCUAUUGUAACAACCUAGCUAGGCUAUCUCUAGACGUACAGUGCAUCCAGCUUAGAGAGUAGAUUACCACAAAUUUGUGAGUAGCUGUACUUAAAUGUAAAUAUCUUUUGAUCGGAACAUUUCUAAGAAAUGGUGUUGAUACCAAUGUGUAGAUGAAUGACCAUGAAAACAGUAAUCUUGUACAGAUAAGGUCCUAGACUUCAUCACAUAAUUGUUCAAUGGUUUAGGUAUCCUGACCAUCCCUUUAUGGGUCUUACAUUAUGUUCAUAGUGUUUAUAAUUCAUGAUUUACUAGUUUUCAGGUACACUUUUGGUUAGAGUAAUAACUUCUGACAAAUUAAUAGCUUAGCUUUCAAAUUUCUGUAGUAAGUUAACAGAUAAAUGGGCUACAUUUUGAUACCAAGAACAUCCUAUAUGCUUAUUCCAUUGUUGACUGAAAAGCUACAUAAUUACUAUUUUCUACUGUUUUGAUGACAUCAGCAGCUGCAAACCACAAACCAAUGCCGCUUUAUCAACCACAAACUUAAUUACGAUUACCCACUAUAACAAUUUGUUGUUGUUCUAUUAAUCACCACAAACCCACCACCUUAUGUUUCCAUGGAAACAUUUUUGAGUAUGUUGUAGCUUGGUCAUUCACCUACACAUUGGUAUCAACACUAUUACUUAGAAAUGCUCCAAUCAAAAGAUAUUUACAUUUAAGUACAACUACUCACACAUUUGUGGUAAUCUACUCUCUAAGCUGGAUGCACUGUGCCAUUAUUAUACAGUGAAGUCACCCUGUAAGCAGGUCACCCUCUAUAAUACAGCCAGGUUAAUGGGGCCCAAAGUCUCCAUAGCAUGUGUUUGGACCGGUGUUAGCAGGCCACCUCUUUAUUUCAACCACUGUUAGUCUGCCCAAGACAGUAGUAGAUACAGUUUUAGUUAUUGCAAUUUUGGUAUCCACAGUAUCUAGCUCAGAUUAACUAUACAAUUGUUGUUUAUCCUGCGGCUAGACUGUGACAACUUUCUGGUGAACAACAGGACACUACGGAUUCUGAUGGAUCAGCAAAGAUCUGCCUAUGCACAUUCUGAACACCGAGGUGUUUGGGUUCAUUGUCAAACCAGAGGACUAUGAGAGCCUGGACCACGCUGCUCAGGACUUCCUUAACUUUAAGCUGGAAAACCUUGUGGACCACCCCCCUAUACUGCAUUAGUGUGUGUGUUGUCUCCCCCCACACAGUGGACCACCCCCUAUACUGCAUUAGUGUGUGUGUUGUCUCCCCCCACACAGUGGACCACCCCCCUAUACUGCAUUAGUGUGUGUAUUGUCUCCCCCCACACAGUGGACCACCCCCCUAUACUGCAUUGUGUGUGUAUUGUCUCCCCCCACACAGUGGACCACCCCCCUAUACUGCAUUAGUGUGUGUGUUGUUUCCCCCCACACAGUGGACCACCCCCCUAUACUGCAUUAGUGUGUGUGUUGUCUCCCCCCACACAGUGGACCACCCCCCUAUACUGCAUUAGUGUGUGUAUUGUCUCCCCCCACACAGUGGACCACCCCCCUAUACUGUACAGUCAGUACAUCUCCAGACCACACCCUGUCAAGAACAACUUGGGGUUGGACGUGGUGUUCAUGAUUGGGCUAGUACGGAGGCCAGAAAGAAGGAACCGGAUGAUUUUAAGCCUGGACGAGCUCAACUUCAACUACACCCUCUUUGAGUGCUGUCGAUGGAAGACAGUUGAAUCAGAGCUUCCUGGACAGUCUGGGCAUCAAGUACCUACCCGGCUGGAAGGACCCUUGGGGAGAACAACCUAUGACCUUUGGAGAGGUCGGCUGUUUCCUUAGUCACCACACGAUAUGGCAGCAGAUGAUGACGGAGGGUCUGGAUCAAAUCCUGAUUCUGGAGGAUGAUGUCGUGUUUGAGCCCUACUUCCGACAUGACCUCACUAGCUAGAGUACUGGAAGAGGCCAAUCGGAUCACACCAAACUGGGACCUCAUGGGAUGGGUCUUCUUCACUGGGCCUGUGACCGUGGCAACCUGAACAUGGUGAAACUACUUGUGAAGAGGGGAGCAGAUGUUAAUAUUGAGGACACAGACAAUCAGACACCUCUUCAUUAUGGUGAGAGAUGGAGUAUUCCUUUACAGAGGGUGCUUGUGUGUUAAUACAUGUUGAAGCUAGCUGUCUGUUUGUAGAUCUUUGUUUGAGUCCAAUGCUCCCUCUACUGAAUAGUGAGGGAAGUCAGUUUGGCUGUGUAUCUAUGGUAACCUGUGAGAUCUUUUUGUAUUUGCAUUAAAUGAUUAAUAUUGAUGAUGAUCGAGGAAAAAGACCCUAGAGCUAUAGAAGUUGAGCUGGUUGAUGAAUUAGAUUUAUUCACGGUAAUAAUUAUGUCUCUUUUUGAAUUUCUUGAUUUUCGCGAUUGAUUGUAUUUCCU